rnacentral:rRNA from 1 species
ACGUAGGGUGCAAGCGUUAAUCGGAAUUACUGGGCGUAAAGCGUGCGCAGGCGGUUAUGCAAGACAGAUGUGAAAUCCCCGGGCUUAACCUGGGAACUGCAUUUGUGACUGCAUAGCUAGAGUGCGGCAGAGGGGGAUGGAAUUCCGCGUGUAGCAGUGAAAUGCGUAGAUAUGCGGAGGAACACCGAUGGCGAAGGCAAUCCCCUGGGCCUGCACUGACGCUCAUGCACGAAAGCGUGGGGAGCAAACAGGAUUAGAUACCCUGGUAGUCCACGCCCUAAACGAUGUCGACUGGUUGUUGGGGGUUUGACACUCUCAGUAACGAAGCUAACGCGUGAAGUCGACCGCCUGGGGAGUACGGCCGCAAGGUUA